rnacentral:rRNA from 3 species
AGACCCGAAACCCGGUGAUCUAGCCAUGGGCAGGUUGAAGGUUGGGUAACACUAACUGGAGGACCGAACCGACUAAUGUUGAAAAAUUAGCGGAUGACCUGUGGCUGGGGGUGAAAGGCCAAUCAAACCGGGAGAUAGCUGGUUCUCCCCGAAAGCUAUUUAGGUAGCGCCUCGUGAAUUCAUCUCCGGGGGUAGAGCACUGUUUCGGCUAGGGGGCCAUCCCGGCUUACCAACCCGAUGCAAACUGCGAAUACCGGAGAAUGUUAUCACGGGAGACACACGGCGGGUGCUAACGUCCGUCGUGAAGAGGGAAACAACCCAGACCGCCAGCUAAGGUCCCAAAGUCAUGGUUAAGUGGGAAACGAUGUGGGAAGGCCCAGACAGCCAGGAUGUUGGCUUAGAAGCAGCCAUCAUUUAAAGAAAGCGUAAUAGCUCACUGGUCGAGUCGGCCUGCGCGGAAGAUGUAACGGGGCUAAACCAUGCACCGAAGCUGCGGCAGCGAACGUAUCACCCAAGACAACUUUACGGAGUUGACGAUUGACGGAGCGAAGCGACGUCAAAGCGUUCAUUA